rnacentral:rRNA from 1 species
AACGAACGCUGGCGGCAGGCUUAACACAUGCAAGUCGAACGCUCACUUUCGGGUGGGAGUGGCAGACGGGUGAGUAACACGUGGGAACAUACCCUUCGGUUCGGAAUAACCCUGGGAAACUAGGGCUAAGACCGGAUACGGCCGGGAGGCGAAAGAUUGAUCGCCGAGGGAUUGGCCCGCGUCCGAUUAGCUAGUUGGUGGUGGUAAUGGCUCACCAAGGCGACGAUCGGUAGCUGGUCUGAGAGGAUGGCCAGCCACAUUGGGACUGAGACACGGCCCAAACUCCUACGGGAGGCAGCAGUGGGGAAUAUUGGACAAUGGGCGCAAGCCUGAUCCAGCCAUGCCGCGUGAGUGAUGACGGCCUUAGGGUUGUAAAGCUCUUUCGCACGCGACGAUAAUGACGGUAGCGUGAGAAGAAGCCCCGGCUAACUUCGUGCCAGCCGCCGCCGUAACAC